GCUGUCAUCCCAGCACGGGGUCACAGAGAGGGAGCCUGAAUUGCCCACCAGGGGCUCCUCUCGACUGCACCUGCCCCGGCUUCAAGGAGGUGCACGGUGGGUCCACCAUGGUGUAAAACUCCGGCAUCCAGAUUGGAACUAAGAAAAGUGUGAGCGAUUGCCUUGUACUUCCCUUUGUUGAAAGGAGGCCUUGGAGGACAGUCCUUCUAGGAGGCAGAUGUGCCUCCUCUCACAGUUUCUGCACCUGCUGGGGCUUCAUGCUGUCCUGGAAUUGCUGUGAGAUGGGGAGUAAAGACCAGGUACAAGAGAAUCCGAACGUGUCCGCCAAAGGGGUCUCCAGCGACUGGCGCUGCUCAAGGCCGUGGAAAACCCAA